AGAGUUUGAUCCUGGCUCAGCCUGAACGCUGGCGGCGUGGCUAAGACAUGCAAGUCGCACGGAUGUAGCAAUACAUCAGUGGCGAACGGGUGAGUAAUGAAUCGCUAACGUACCCUGGACUUUGGGAUAGCUGACCGAAAGGUCAGGUAAUACCAGAUGAUAUAACUUUGUCGCAUGACAGAGUUCUCAAAGGUCCGCCGGUCCUGGAGCGGGCGAUUUCGUAUCAGCUAGUUGGUGAGGUAACGGCUCACCAAGGCGACGACGCGUAGCCGGACUGAGAGGUUGGCCGGCCACAUUGGGACUGAGACACUGCCCAGACUCCUACGGGGGGCUGCAGUAACGAAUCUUCCGCAAUGCACGAAAGUGUGACGGAGCGACGCCGCGUGUGGGACGAAGCCCUUCGGGGUGUAAACCACUGUCAGGGGAAAGAAAGUUCUGAUCUACCCCAGAGGAAGAGGCGGCUAACUCUGUGCCAGCAGCCGCGGUAAUACAGAGGCCUCGAGCGUUAGGCGGAAUCACUGGGCUUAAAGCGUGUGUAGGCGGACUUCUAAGUACCUUGUGAAAUCCCACGGCUCACCCGUGGAACUGCUCGGUAUACUGGUUGUCUUGAGCCUUCUAGGGGCGAGUGGAACAAAUGGUGGAGCGGUGAAAUGCGUAGAUAUCAUUUGGAACGCCAAUGGUGAAAACAACUCGCUGGGGAAGUGCUGACGCUGAGACACGAAAGCCAGGGGAGCGAACGGGAUUAGAUACCCUAGUAGUCC
rnacentral:rRNA from 1 species